CCUGUGGGAUGUGUGAGGUGAAUUGGGACUUGUGUGAGGUUACCUGGGAAAUGUUUGAGGUGACCUGCGGGAUGUGUAAGGUGACAUUGGGGAUGUGUGAGGUGACUCAGGGCACAUGUGAGGUGACCUUGGGGAUGUGCAAGGUCACACUGUGUGAGUGUGAGGUCAUGUGGGAUAUUUCAAACUUUGUAAGGAAAGCCUGCAACAAUAUAUGGCUCUAGAAGCUUCACACUCCAACACUGUUAAUGCGCACAUCCUCAAGGAACUCUAAAUGUUUCCAGGUUAGCUUAAAUGCCAUGGAGUGACACCUGCCCCAGGUACACUCAUAUAUGCAUCCUGGGUCUCCCUAUCAACCCCUAUCCUCAAAUUUUCAGUUCAUGUUUGCUCCAUGAUAUCAACUCUGAUAUGCUGAGGUUUUUUUUUUUUUAUCUGUAGUUGUUCAGGUUUGCUGUUUCACUCUCAUUACUCUGGGCUCAGUCCUCUCCUCAGGUGUCCCACUUCAGAGCUUGCUAUGUAAUAGGAGACAUGCAAAUAGGACCCUCCCUUUUCUGAUGAAAAGCAGCCCAGCCCUGACCCUGCAGCCGUGGGAGAGAAGCCCCAGCCCUGGGAUUCUCAGGUGUUUCUAUUGGGUCAACAGCAAUAAAC
rnacentral:lncRNA from 1 species